rnacentral:rRNA from 1 species
AACGAACGCUGGCGGCAUGCCUAACACAUGCAAGUCGAACGAGACCUUCGGGUCUAGUGGCGCACGGGUGCGUAACGCGUGGGAACCUGCCCUUAGGUUCGGAAUAACUCCCCGAAAGGGGUGCUAAUACCGGAUAAUGUCUUCUGACCAAAGAUUUAUCGCCUUUGGAUGGGCCCGCGUUGGAUUAGCUUGUUGGUAGGGUAAAAGCCUACCAAGGCGACGAUCCAUAGAUGGUCUGAGAGGAUGAUCAGACACACUGGGACUGAGACACGGCCCAGACUACUACGGGAGGCAGCAGAGGGGAAUAUUGGAAAAUGGGCGAAAGCCUGAAAAAGCAAUGACGGGUGAGUGAUGAAGGGAUUAGGGUUGUAAAGCUCUUUUACCCGGGAUGAUAAUGACAGUACCGGGAGAAUAAGCGCCGGCUAACUACGUG